UAAGUUGGUAGUGAAAGCGUUCGGCUCAACCGAAUACACAUUAUCAAAACUGCUAAGCUUGAGGAUGAGAGAGGUUAUUGGAAUUCCCUGUGUAGGAGUGAAAUCCGUAGAUAUAGGGAGGAACACCGAUGGCGUAGGCAGAUAACUGGCUCAUUCCUGACACUAAGGCACGAAAGCGUGGGAGCAAACGGGAUUAGAUACCCCGGUAGUCCACGCCGUAAACUAUGGAUGCUA
rnacentral:rRNA from 1 species